rnacentral:rRNA from 1 species
GUGCCAGCCGCCGCGGUAAUACGGAAGGUCCGGGCGUUAUCCGGAUUUAUUGGGUUUAAAGGGAGCGCAGGCCGAUGGUUAAGCGUGACGUGAAAUGUAGCCGCUCAACGGCUGAACUGCGUCGCGAACUGGCUAUCUUGAGUGAGUUCGAUGUUGGCGGAAUUCGUGGUGUAGCGGUGAAAUGCUUAGAUAUCACGAAGAACUCCGAUUGCGAAGGCAGCCAACAAGGCCUUUACUGACGCUAAAGCUCGAAGGUGCGGGUAUCGAACAGGAUUAGAUACCCUGGUAGUCCGCACGGUAAACGAUGGAUGCCCGCUGUUUGCGAUAUACUGUGAGCGGCCAAGAGAAAUCGUUAAGCAUCCCACCUGGGGAGUACGCCGGCAACGGUGAAACUCAAAGGAAUUGACGGGGGCCCGCACAAGCGGAGGAACAUGUGGUUUAAUUCGAUGAUACGCGAGGAACCUUACCCGGGCUUGAACUGCAGCGGAAGGAUACAGAGAUGUUGACGCCCUUCGGGGCCGCUGUGGAGGUGCUGCAUGGUUGUCGUCAGCUCGUGCCGUGAGGUGUCGGCUUAAGUGCCAUAACGAGCGCAACCCUUUUCAUCAGUUGCCAUCAGGUGAUGCUGGGCACUCUGGUGAUACUGCCACCGUAAGGUGUGAGGAAGGUGGGGAUGACGUCAAAUCAGCACGGCCCUUACGUCCGGGGCUACACACGUGUUACAAUGGGGCAUACAGAAGGCAGGUUGCAUGCAAAUGCGAUCAAAUCUUAAAAGUGUCCCUCAGUUCGGAUUGGGGUCUGCAACCCGACCCCAUGAAGCUGGAUUCGCUAGUAAUCGCGCAUCAGCCAUGGCGCGGUGAAUACGUUCCCGGGCCUUGUACACACCGCCCGU